CCCCUCUCAGGGUCAUACCUGGAGAGUUUCCAAUAUUCUACCAUUCUCGGCUACAGGAGGGAGAGUCAAGCAGAGGCAUUCCAUUCCUAGCUUGGCCAGCGGCUAGUGAGUGGAAGGCAAUCUGCUACGAGU